AAGGCUCCCGAAGAAAUCAUAUACGAAAUCUUGGUAAGGUUAGCCGUCAAAUCUCUACUUGAGUGCACGGCAGUAUGCAAGUCAUGGAGUUGUAUGAUCAAAAGCCCUACCUUCAUCCACACCCAUCUGAACAACCGAUUAAUCGAAUCCAACCAUCGAAACAACGACGGAGUUCAACUCCUCCUUCACAAUCCUGAAUUUGAGCUUUACUCAUUGUACAGGGAUGACGACGACCCCCGUGCAUCAUCAUCUACGCUUAGGGAGUAUACCGAUCUUGACAAUCCAUACCAAGUUUACGCCGAACGCACCAGAAGCCGUACCUGGGGAUCCGAGUUUGUCGGAACUUGUAACGGGCUCGUGUGCCUUGCUGCUGAAGACAUUGACUUGACUACAUUAGUUUGGAACCCUAGCAUCAGAAAGUUUGUGGUUUUGCCCAAGUCUGGUGUUACCUUUUGUCAUGGAUAUGGUCGAGAAGCAAGAUGCGCCUUUGGCUACGACAGGCGUGCCAAUGACUAUAAGGUCUUACGAAGAGUGUCUUGUUUUCAAGAAGGCAAAUUUAUCUCAUGUCAAUAUGAGAUUUGGUCGUUAGCCAAGGGCUCUUGGAAGACUCUCAAUACUGGUAAUGAUCGUCAUCAUCAUGAACGUGACAUUGAACAACGGGACUUUGAUGCUGGUCAUCCGCCUGCUUUUGUCAAUGGUGCUCUGCAUUGGGUUCAAGUCAACGUGAACACCGGGAAUAUUUCCGUUGGGUCGUUUGAUAUGUCCGAUGAAGUAUUCAGCAAGAUAACCAUACCACCAGAAGCUGAAACACAAAAAUGUUUCGAUUCUGAUCCACAUUGCGUGGUGUCGAGGUACAGAGAGUCCCUUGCAUUUUUCGAAAGCUCUGAGGAGAGGAGAGAAAGUGUUGGUUGUGGUUGGCUUCUUCACAUGACCAUGUGGGUGAUGAAAGAGUAUGGUGUGGCCAAAUCAUGGGAUAAACUAUUUGCAAUAUGCCUGGAAGGGAGUAUUUGUAGACUGGUUGGUUGUAGAAAAAGUGGUGAUGAAGUUGUGCUCAAACUGAUUGUUGAUAACGUUCAAUAUCGGUCUGUGAACUCUAAGACCAAACAAGUUAAGAAUUUGCAAAUUAAAGGAUCGUGCCGUUACUCGGUCAUGGAUGCUUUUACUGAAAGCCUUGUCUUGCUUGACCAGCCUAAUGUAUUUACAUACUAA
rnacentral:lncRNA from 1 species